AACGAACGCUGGCGGCGCGUCUUAAGCAUGCAAGUCGAGCGGCAAGGCAGGGCAACCUGCCCUAGAGCGGCGGACUGGUGAGUAACACGUGGGUGAUCUGCCCUUGGGUUGGGGAUAGCCACUAGAAAUAGUGGGAUAAUACCGAAUACGUUCGCGGGACUUUGGUUCUGCGAGGAAAGGUCCGAUUGGACCGCCCAAGGAUGAGCCCGCGCCUGAUUAGCUUGUUGGCGGGGUAAUGGCCCACCAAGGCGAUGAUCAGUAGGCGGCCUGAGAGGGUGUACGCCCACAUUGGGACUGGAGAUACGGCCCAAACUCCUACGGGAGGCUG
rnacentral:rRNA from 1 species